GACGAACGCUGGCGGCGUGCUUAACACAUGCAAGUCGAACGAUGAAGCUGGAGCUUGCUCCGGUGGAUUAGUGGCGAACGGGUGAGUAACACGUGAGAAAUCUGCCCUUGACUCUGGGAUAACUGCGGGAAACUGUAGCUAAUACCGGAUAUUUUCCUUGGUGGGCAUCCACUGGGGAAGAAAGAAUUUCGGUCAAGGAUGAUCUCGCGGCCUAUCAGCUAGUUGGUGAGGUAAUGGCUCACCAAGGCGACGACGGGUAGCCGGCCUGAGAGGGCGACCGGCCACACUGGGACUGAGACACGGCCCAGACUCCUACGGGAGGCAGCAGUGGGGAAUAUUGCACAAUGGGCGCAAGCCUGAUGCAGCGACGCCGCGUGAGGGAUGAAGGUCUUCGGAUUGUAAACCUCUUUCAGUAGGGACGAAGCGAAAGUGACGGUACCUAAAGAAGAAGCACCGGCUAACUACGUGCCAGCAGCCGCCGUAA
rnacentral:rRNA from 1 species